AAUUUACUUGCGCUAUUAAUUAUUAGUUAAAAAUGUAUAAAACUUAUCCCACCUAUAUAUUACUCUUUGGAUUGACUACCUAAUCUUUAAAAAUUUUAAUUUUACUAUCAGACCUUUUGGUUUUUCUGAUUUGAACCAAUUAGUUACUUUUUAACUUAAAAAUUUAAAUACAUUAUUUAUAUUUAUAAUUUUAAUAAAUAUAUUUUAUACAAUUUACGUAACUAUAGAUUAAUUAAAAUAAACAACUAACUUAAAUUUUAUAUUAAAAAAAUUAAAAAUUAUUAAAAUUAAAUAAAUUGAAAGAUUAAUUGCUAAAAUUAAAGUCGUGAAAAAUUAUCUAGUAGGAUCUAUAA
rnacentral:lncRNA from 1 species